rnacentral:misc_RNA from 1 species
GCAAACUUGGUCAUUUAGAGGAAGUAAAAGUCGUAACAAGGUUUCCGUAGGUGAACCUGCGGAAGGAUCAUUAAAGAGUUAGGGUCCUCUGGGCCCGACCUCCCAACCCUUUGUUUACUGAACCUCUGUUGCUUCGGCGGACCCGCCUCACGGCCGCCGGAGGAUCGCCCCCAGGCGUCCUCUGGCCAGCGUCCGCCGACAGCCACUCUCAAAACUCUUGAAUAAAUCAUGUCAUUGUCUAAGUUGUGAUGCAAAUCAAUAAAGCAAAACUUUCAACAACGGAUCUCUUGGUUCUGGCAUCGAUGAAGAACGCAGC